AGCUUGUCCAUUUAAAAAUAAGGCAUAAAGAUUGGAAAGCCAUCUGGAAGUUCCUGAAAACAGGGCCUCAGAAUCCUCCAUUGCAUCACUUGCUGACAGAAUGAUGAGGGAAGCAGAAGAGACGAAGAAUGUUACAGAAGUCAGAGGGGGUCAGGCCUGGAACUGAUGUUUAUCAGUCUGCCCAUUUCCACACAUACAGAGCUCAGUCACAUAGCCAUACCAUUUGCAACCAAAGCUAGGAAUUAUGGAAAACCAUGGGCCAAGGAAGAGAGGGCAUGGAUGGUGCUGAGUAACCUCAACUAAGCUCUGUAACACUGUGAUUAGCUAAGUAUCACUCUUAGUUCUCACAAUAAAGAAGCCUGAGUUUAGAA